AAAGGGAGACCUAAUUCAGGUAUGGGACGAAAAAAAAGUAGUCGCUACCAAGAAUCAAUCCCAAAAGGUCGGAGCGAGGCGAAAUUGGCUUUCAAACUAGGUUCUGGGUUCAAACAAGACCUGAAUCAGGAACAAGGGCUAUUAGCUCAGGUGGUUAGAGCGCACCCCUGAUAAGGGUGAGGUCCCUGGUUCGAGUCCAGGAUGGCCCACCUGCACAGGUGGCAAAAACAAAGAAGGGAGGAAUCAGCACCUUAUCUUAUAUACAUAUAUAAGAGAGAAUGCUGGCUCUGAGUACAGAGUCCAGAGGAACCUUGAAAACUGCAUAGAGCUAGGUGAAAAAGCCAAAAAAGAAGACCGCAAG
rnacentral:tRNA from 1 species